UACGUAGGGUGCGAGCGUUAAUCGGAAUUACUGGGCGUAAAGCGUGCGCAGGCCGCUUUGCAAGACAGAUGUGAAAUCCCCGGGCUCAACCUGGGAACUGCAUUUGUGACUGCAAGGCUAGAGUACGGCAGAGGGGGAUGGAAUUCCGCGUGUAGCAGUGAAAUGCGUAGAUAUGCGGAGGAACACCAAUGGCGAAGGCAAUCCCCUGGGCCUGUACUGACGCUCAUGCACGAAAGCGUGGGGAGCAAACAGG
rnacentral:rRNA from 1 species